rnacentral:misc_RNA from 1 species
GAAACAGGUAAAUUUCCAUCCCUGUCACAGAAUGAAAUGAAUGACAUGAAAAAUCUCCCAAAAUCAAUUGAUUCCUUCUACUUUAUUCUUUGAAUGUUGUGUUCUUGCAUGUCAAAAUGAUGUAUGAGUAGCCACAAGUAUUACUGAAAAAACGUACUGUACACUAACAGUUAACUCAAAACAAAAUUAUUGGAAUUACACAACUUCCACAGGAUGUUUGCAAAAAUUAUUACUUGGUUUGAAUGGGGCAAACAUGUUAAUCGCCCUUAAUGGCUGACCUGGAGAUUUAAUCAUCUUAAGAGGCUCUCAUUAUUCUGGGGGGAGGGUUGUGGGGUUCAUAGUCUCAUAGAUCCUCUGCAACUGCACUACAACAUAGGCAGAUACCUAUACCUAAAUCAUUAAAUGAAGCUAGAAACAAGGUUGAGAUGCCAGGAUCAUGAGGUUAUUGGCACCAUUUUCGUCUCAUUGGGACAGAGAUAGCAUGGUGCAUGGUACGAAAGGUCAGCCAUAAAGUGACAGACUCAUGCCAUAUUCAAAAUGUGUCUUAGUUUAUCACUUGAAUGUUGUCUUUACAUGCAAUAGUGAUUCAUAUACUCGGAUUCAUAUAGUGAUUCAUACACUUGGAUGGAUUAUUGGAUAGGUAAUAUACAACUUGCAACACAAUAAGAGUUUUUUUUCUCAACAAUAUUUGUUUUACAAACAUCUACCAACAUGUCUUUUCUCAAUUAUCACCCAUGUUAUCCCAACAAUAAUUGUCAUUACUCACUCUUGUCCUUAGCUGCAACCUAAACAAGUCACUUUCACUCCCUCAAGCUACCUCUCUUGUUCUAGCACAUGGCUAAUGUAAGAAUUUCCUUUAUCAUGUACCUUGUUGGAGUUAGCUUGUUCUUUGCUGGUUAAAAGUGCAUAGAAUUUAAAGAUAUCUGUUAUAUGCUUUUUUACUGAACUCGUUAAUUAGCUCAUCGAUAAUAGUUUAGAAAUACUCUGUAUUUAUCAUCAGGCAUCAAUUCUGUGGGAACAUCUUAUUCAACCCCUUUCUCUCAGACAUAUCUCUCAGACAUAUAUGAACCCAGAUAACAAGGAAAUUUUGAAGCCAUCCUUCCAAUUAAAAAUCAAAUGACAAACUUAUAAAUUAUAAAAACGAACUCAUUAAGGAAAC